AUAAUGGUUGUUGAUAUUUGUGAUUAUUCUAGCUAUGAUGAGAGUCCUUUGAAUGUUUGAACUGAUUCUGAUGAGGAGAUAGUUGCAUUACAACUAGAUGGUUCAGUUCCACUAGUGUAUGAUUUUCAAGUUGUCGGGAUCUAUGAAAACUAGAUGGAUUUAAAAGUGGCUACCAUGAAGAAAGGGAUGAAGUUUUUUUUUUCUGGCAUAGGCUUAGGAAAAAGAAUAGAUGGCCUGGUAACUUUUUUUGAGAUGAAAGGGCAGAUCACGAGUUAUGGUUUAGGCUAUGAGCCAACUGAAGAGAAAGAAAAGCCAAAGCCUCCUAAGUCCUUGAAAGAGUGGCCCAUUACCUGGACAUAUGAUUAGGGGUUACUACAUGUGAAAGUGCUAAAGCAGAAAAUCAGGACCAUUGAUCUAAGAACUGCAUGGAAAGCUAAGCACCUAAAGCUACAUUCCUAAGUUUGAGUUUAUCUUUUAUAAUGCUUACAGUAGUGAUACUGAUGUUUCUAUUUCCGAUAUACUUGAUGCAAAUUUUAAGGUGAAGAUCAAUAACAUGACGAGUCCUUCUGCUUACUUAUUUGAUGUUUAUUCUAAUGGGCAU
rnacentral:misc_RNA from 1 species